CUGGCAGGCCGUGCACCGGCGGGCCGGCGAGCUGGGGAUCGGCCUCUUGAGGGAGUCGGG
rnacentral:ribozyme from 1 species